rnacentral:rRNA from 1 species
UGAGGAAUCUUCCACAAUGGACGAAAGUCUGAUGGAGCGACACCGCGUGAAGGAUGAAGGCCUAACGGUUGUAAACUUCUUUUCUGAAGGAGCAUAAUGAGAGUACUUCAGGAAUAAGGGACGGCUAAAUACGUGCCAGCAGCCGCGGUAAUACGUAUGUCUCAAGCGUUACCCGGAAUCACUGGGUGUAAAGGGUUCGUAGGCGGAAAUUUAAGUCAGGUAUGAAAGACCGGAGCUCAACUCCGAGUUUGUGCUUGAAACUGGAUUUCUAGAAUUAGGGAGAGGUAAGCGGAAUUCUAAGUGUAGGGGUGCAAUCCGUAGAUACUUAGAGGAACACCAAAAGCGAAGGCAGCUUACUGGAACUAUAUUGACGCUGAUGAACGAAAGCGUGGGUAGCGAAAAGGAUUAGAUACCCUUGUAGUCCACGCCCUAAACGUUGAUAAUUAAGUGUUGCACAUUGGUGCAGUGCUGUAGCUAACGCGUUAAAUUAUCCACCUGAGGAGUACGGUCGCAAGAUUA